rnacentral:rRNA from 1 species
UACAGAGGGUGCAAGCGUUAAUCGGAAUUACUGGGCGUAAAGCGUGUGUAGGCGGCCGCGCAAGUCGGAUGUGAAAGCCCUGGGCUCAACUCAGGAAGUGCACCCGAUACUGCGUGGCUCGAGUACCGGAGAGGUUGGUGGAAUUCUCGGUGUAGAGGUGAAAUUCGUAGAUAUCGAGAGGAACACCUGUGGCGAAGGCGGCCAACUGGACGAGUACUGACGCUGAGACACGAAAGCGUGGGGAGCAAACAGG